UACGGAGGGUGCAAGCGUUAAUCGGAAUUACUGGGCGUAAAGCGCACGCAGGUGGCUGAGUCAGUCGAUUGUGAAAGCCCUGGGCUUAACCUGGGAAUUGCAGUCGAUACUACUCAGCUGGAGUAUGGGAGAGGGCAGUGGAAUUCCCGGUGUAGCGGUGAAAUGCGUAGAUAUCGGGAGGAACAUCAGUGGCGAAGGCGGCUGCCUGGCCCAAUACUGACACUCAGGUGCGACAGCGUGGGGAGCAAACAGG
rnacentral:rRNA from 1 species